rnacentral:rRNA from 1 species
GACGAACGCUGGCGGCGUGCCUAAUACAUGCAAGUCGAGCGAGCGGAACUAACAGAUUUACUUCGGUAAUGACGUUAGGAAAGCGAGCGGCGGAUGGGUGAGUAACACGUGGGGAACCUGCCCCAUAGUCUGGGAUACCACUUGGAAACAGGUGCUAAUACCGGAUAAGAAAGCAGAUCGCAUGAUCAGCUUUUAAAAGGCGGCGUAAGCUGUCGCUAUGGGAUGGCCCCGCGGUGCAUUAGCUAGUUGGUAAGGUAAAGGCUUACCAAGGCGAUGAUGCAUAGCCGAGUUGAUGGACGGGUCGGCCACAUUGGAACGUGACCACGGCCCUAGCGCCUACGGGAGGCAGCAGUAGGGAAUCGGACGCAAUGGACGCAAGUAUUAUGGAGCAACGCCGCGUGAGUGAAGAAGGUGUUCGGAUCGUAAAGCUCUGUUGUUGGUGAAGAAGGAUAGAGGUAGGAACUGGACCUUAUUUGACGGUAAUCAACCAGAAAGUCACGGCUAACUACGUG